GACCUGACCUACAUGCCGAAAUCGAGAUCGCGUGUAGAUCAGAGUUGGGUGUGUGUAAGCAGUGCGUUUAUGAAUGAAAUUGGAAAGUUUUGCACGUGCUCUGCAAAAGUCACAUGCGGGAUUACUGAUUUGGAUUUGCCUUGAAUUGCAGGAACGGACGUAUUGCAUGGAGAGGCGUUGGGGGUAUUGUCCGGGGAGCGGGAAUUGGGGAGUGCACGGUGUACAUCAUCGCCAUCUUAUCCGGGCAAGGUGGCGGCAGUAAAUGCAUUUGGCUGGCAAUCCUUUAGAUUAGGGAUUGUGUCGCACUCUAACAUAAGGAUUCUUGGCCUUUUGGAGUAUCCAACCCGUUUGUGCGUUCAUACUUCUAGCGGUCGCUUUUCUCUUCACCACUGUCUCAAAAUAAUGCUGAUGUUAAAUUUUGAUAAGUUUUUAUUUUAUUUUAUUCACCGCGUACAUAUGAAUGUCGAUCAUAUUUACCGUACCCAAAGACACAUUGUAAUACAUGUACAAACCUGUACCUUUUUUAUACAGAAAAAGCAAUUUAAAUAAGACAUUAACAAACUGCGUAUUUAUAUAAUUUUAUUAUACUACGAUUUCUUUUUAAGAAAUCAUUAUAACCAUUCCGUUAAUGCCAUUGUAUUAAACCAUGUAGGCAAUUAUUAGUCGGCAUAAUAUAUUGAAUUAUCUCGUCCAAUCGAACUAUGUAAGCUGCUUACGGACGCCUUGCCGACUGAAAUGCAUGACAUUUUUUGGAAUAAUUACAGUUGUAGAGGCAUUUACAGGUAUAACCUACAUUUCUGUAUUCGCUAUACCUUAUGAAUGCACUUACUUAUUACUUACCUUACUCCCUAAGGUGGUGCAGUCACGUUAUCGUACACAGGUAAUGGCUAUGUGGGGGUAUGUUUAGCGAGUUUUCCAUGUGCACGUGGAUGUUAACGUGAGCGCGAAUAUGAGCGUGAUCCGCGAAUACGACUUAUUUAAGACGAGCCUGCGAGUUCGCUUCUUGUGAAUUUAUUAAGUGUGUUGUUUCUGAAUUAAAAAAACGAAUAGCAUCUAAGAAAUUAUUAAUUGUGUUGUCAUUGUAAUAAAGCAAAGAUGAAGGCGUAAAAUAA